rnacentral:rRNA from 1 species
UACAGAGGGUGCGAGCGUUAAUCGGAAUUACUGGGCGUAAAGCGCGCGUAGGCGGCUUUGCAAGUCGGGUGUGAAAUCCCUCGGCUUAACCGAGGAACUGCCUGUCAGACUGCAUGGCUUGAGACCGGGAGAGGUGAGUGGAAUUCCCAGUGUAGCGGUGAAAUGCGUAGAUAUUGGGAGGAACACCAGUGGCGAAAGGCGGCUCACUGGACCGGUACUGACGCUGA